UUUUCCUAUAUGAAAAUGGCAGA
rnacentral:miRNA from 1 species